ACAGCACAUUCCAGAGACAAUAAAACAUUGCUAGGGUUGAAUUGCAAGCGAAAACAAGUUACUGUCAGAUCCAAGUGCUGGAAAACGAACCCCAAAUUUAACCGUAAUACAAAUACCGGUGACAUCACCUUGUGAGGUAUGAACCGCAUUAACGCUUCGGCUGCCGCGUGAGCCUGAGGCCCCAACCAACGGUCGAGACACAGGCCUCCCUUCACAAUGAGCCAAACCUGUGACACAGCGUUGGCAGGCAGGCAGAAUGCCCCGCAGACCUUCAACAAGUACUUCAACUUGCAAGAAGCCAGUAAUCCAUCUGCCCAAACCGCACAAAAUGCAUCUGAUCCAAACCAUUGCAGAAAGGCUGACAAGAAGAUAAAGGUAAAACGUCUUAAGACCCGUAAGGAAAGGAGCCAGAUGACAAGUGUAAGGAGCCGGGAAGGUAAGCAGUGCCAUCAGCACCACUGCAGGAGAGAAGGCAAGUUCUCUGGAUGCUGUGGCUGCAGUCACAGGCACCAUGUCCACCCCUUCUCCAGAAACACUAUGUCUCUCCACACUUCCUCUGGGCUGGAGCCUUGCAUCAUAACUGACAGCCGUCUAAUCGGACAUCGAGGCCUUUUUAAUCAUGGAGUGAAAUCCAUUGACAUCGAACGGCUGAUUGUCCAGUGUAAGGCAAAGCCUGUGCAAAUUAUGGUAGGCAACAGCAACAAUCCUGACUCUUCUAGUCAUUGCUUGUCUCCCGCUCCUGAGCCCAGUGUGUAUCUUGACUUUUCUAGUCCGGUUAAGCAAACUGGAGUUCAGAAGCAAAGGAAAGCGGGAAAAACACAGAAUAGUGCAAACACACAGCAGGUUAAUGCUUGUACGUGUCAGCCUAGUGACUCCACAGGCAAUGUUUUGGAAAAUGUGACAAAGGAAGGAAGAGUAACUGAAGUCAGUUUGGAAAAGGGUGAACAAGCAGGUGGCACUUUAUCUCCGGGGGGUUCCAAGAGUCAGAGACUAAGUACUUCACCGGGGCAAAAGGACACAGAUCCCAAAAUUUUACCAACACAGCUUUUUGAGUAUGGACAGAUUCAGCUGUCCACGUCAGAUGGUUGUGAUGCCGGAGGUAGAAAUGAAAACAAAUUGAAAACUUAUGCUGUGGAGCCGAAUCAUUGCUCACCACAAUUGCGUGCUGCAGGGAAAGAAAGGGCAUGGCGCCAUGACACAAAGGGCAAGGCUGUGAUCACAUCCACUGUCCAACAAGUGUCAGACAUCCCAAGUCCUUUAACACAAUUCAGCCACCCAUUUGAGGCUGGUUUAUGUUUGCCCGAAUCCAAUCCACUGAACAGUGUUGUCAGCUCUGUGUCCAUGGGCGAGAGGCCAGUGUGGAAACCUGAAGUCAUUGCUCCUGCGAGCCUGGCUGCAGUGGCUUUCCGUUUGUCCCAGUCACUGGAGAUCCCACUCUUCUGCAGAAGGGAUCUGCUGUCUGAGAACAGGGAGGCACUCCUGCGUGUGCUGCAGGAGAGGCAUGGAGUGCAGCUCCAGGAGAAUCUCCGUAGUUUGCAGCAGAGUCUGUGUUGCAGUGCAGGAGUGACAGACAAAGCAUGCACUGCUCACAAGACAAGCGGAGAAAACGUUUCCAUGGCUACAACUAGCUCAGCUGGCUCCCAUCCAGAGUCCAGUGACAGUCACACCAUUUCUCAUGGAUAUAAUGUCCCACAGUCAGAACAGCCUUGGCUAUGCUCAGCCAUACCAGAGAGCCACGUGAGGCAUAGAAGAGAACCUCAGCCACACCUGCUCAUGCCAGAACUCCCAAAGAAGCAGAGAACAGAGUCGCAGCCCCACCUGUCCAUGCAAGAGCUCCAGAAGAUGAGAAGAAAGGAGCCCCAACCCUGCUUGUCCAUUUCAGAGCUCAAGAAAAGGCAGAGAAAGCAAGAAUACUCCGAGAGAGAGAUACCACAUAUCUUUAUGAAGUUACCACAGGCAAAUGUCACAUGUAAUUCAAGCCCCUUUGUAAAGUUCACUGAGUAUGAUCCAGAGAAGCUACUGGGACCUCACUCCCCCGAAUUUGUAAUGGAUUUCCAGCCUACUUUUCCUUCAUCGCCUAAACUUUCUGUCCGUGGAAUGCACACUGGGCUUCAGCUGCCUUUGGAUCGCAUGUCAAAUACAAGAACCGUAAGAGCAAACUCCGGAGAUGAAAGCUUGUGGUAUUGCCCUGAUGAAUGCUUUAGAGGUCAGUCAGAAACCAGACCAUAUGAAACAGUGGACAAAUCACAUAUUACUCAUUGGCCACAGCAGUCGUCCAUCAAUGAGUGGAGUUUUUCUCCUGUGCACAACUUACAUUCUACUCUCAGUUUCUACUCAAGUUCUCUCCCUGAAAUAAGUACUUCAGUCAGAAGAUUCAAUGGGUCUGACAUUGAUUAUUACCCCCCAUCUGAGUGGCUAGUGCGAGGAUGUCAUUCUUCGCAACCCUCCUUUUCCUACUACCCCAGUCCAGAUCAGUGGUCCUUUCCCCGGAUGAGACUCUAUUGAUUUACUUUAAUUACAAAAUAUAUGGGAUUGUCAAAAAGUAUGUGUAGUAAUCUGUAUAAAUAAUACAGAUUAUUGCAGAUACUUUUUUACUUUUCUUGUAUGUACUGAAAAACAUUGCAUGUAAGAAAGACAAUUUGACUGAACAGCUUUAGGAGCCUUUUUCUGAUAUGUUUACACAGUAGGAGUGCUGUUAUACAGUAAAUGUAACUGGUGAUGACUUUUUCCAAGCAAUUGUGGUUUCAGUAAUUUUGGUCACCAUAAUAUUUGAUUUCUUUAUGUAGAUACUGUAGUGCCGAAUAGUCAUGAUGUUGAAAUAAUCCUUGGUUAUCUAAUGUUUAUUUACCAGAGAAAAUUGUUUAUUUAAAUACAACAAUAAAG
ensembl:lncRNA